UCGAACGAGUACACUCCUAACCCCCUGCGAAUACUACAGCAGUUGCCUCGGCGG
rnacentral:rRNA from 1 species